rnacentral:sRNA from 1 species
CAGAACGAUGAUCCCAAUGAUUAUGAUGAUGAUGAUGACGACGGCGAUGGUGAUGAUGAUGAUGACUCUGUCCUCGAGUUUGUUGAUGCUUCGUCAGACCAGGAUGACAGUGAAGUGGAUGAGGAUAACUUAGAUGAUGCCGAUGACUUGGACCUGGCAGAGUUGUCUCCCGCUGGCAGCAGUGACAGUAGCGACGAUGAUGAUGACGAGGAUCACGGGGAACUGGAUGAUUUGCUGUUUGAACUGGUUUAAAGAAACAUGUCCCUGAUGUUUGUAACGGUUGAAUAUCUUGUGUGGACAUCAAAGAGGUUGAAGAGUUCCAAUAUCAAAAGAUUGUUUCCUGUUGCAUUUAUGUAAAGUGUAUUAGCAUGUCUUGUGUCAUAAAGAAGAAAUGGAAAUAAAGUUAGCUGUUAAAAACACCUUUUGUUAUUAUCGCUCACAAUUCUCUGUAAACCAUAUUAGUUUUAAAAAAAUUUGAGCUUGCAAUAAUUAAUUAGAUCUUCAUUAUCCAGAGCAUUACGCAUUACAACAAUGCAAACCAAAGUUUGUCACAUCCAACAUCACAUUGAUGUGGGGGUACAAUUUUACAUAAACUGCCAAUAGACUGAAUGUGAUUGGUACAUUCUAAGCUCUGAUUAAAGUAAGUAGUUAUUAGGAAAUUUAAUCUGAUGGUCAACUUUAUAGAAUGGUUUGCUUUAAAUAAACGGUUGGAUUGAUUGCAUCUCAGAACCAGGAUUUGCCUGUCAAAGAGUUAGUCAUAAGUCUCAUUUAAAUGUGCCUUCAAUACAUCAUUACCUUUCGAAGUUGUCAUGUUGAUAAUGUCGUCAAAAAUUUUCAGGGGAUAGUGCUUCAGCCUCCUUUUAUACAAUUUUUACCUAAUAGACUAUCGUUGAGUAUUGUGACAUUAAAAAAGCAGCUGUUAAAUGAGAAAGUGGGCAUAAUUCAAAUGUUUCUACCUGAUAUACUGUACCAUUGUGUUCUUUGUAUAUAAACUUGUAUAAUAGGUGGUAUCUUGUACAGCAGGCCUAGCCAAUAAAGUAGCUUGUAUAGAGAACUUACCCAUUACAUUACCUCUCAAAGUAGGCCUAUUCAUUCAUUUGUACAUUGGAUUUACUUUGCAUAGUUUUAUCUAACUAGAACUGAUCCUGGCAUUACUGUGUUUGACAUUCUCUUGUUUCUAUAUACUGGUAUCUAUUUUUUUUUUAUUAUUAUUACCCAGUAUGAGUAAAAACAUUUUUAGUUUCACAAUUUGAAUUUAUUUUCGAAACAGUUGAUGUUCAUGAAUUGUGUGCAUGUGGUUUGUAGAUCUGUUGUGUCACGAUCUGAUCUUCCGACCAGUCAGAGCAGUAUUCUUGUUGUCUACCUUGAAUUCCUUUUACUUAGAAAUAUUGCUG